GGGGAGCUCAGGGCCGGAGCGCGGCGCCGCCUCGGAGCUCAGCGACCGCUCUGCCAACGCAGUUCGCUGUUCUCGCAGAACCGUUCCGUUUUCCGGAUGUUCCUCUGGAGAGAGCGGAGAUUUGAUUAUUUAUUUAUUUCCCUGCCCAAAAAUAACAGCCGCGUCGCUAUGGCAUGGGGCUGUCAGGGGAGGGGAGGGACGGGGGGGUUAGGGAAAGGCUCUGCACAGGAGGGCGGUGGGCACGGCCCCGAGUGCCAGGGUUCAGAGAGCGUUUGGACACCGCCCUCAGACGCAGGGUUUGGAUUUGGGUGGUGCUGUGUGGAGCCGGGGGUUGGACUCAUGAUACCUGUGGGUCCGUGCCGACUCAGGAUGCUCCGUGGCUCUACGGGUCCGUCCCGUGACGAUGAGGGCAGAGCGGAGCAGCGCCGUCGGUCCGAGCUCGGCUGCGGAGCCGCACGCUGUUCGUUGGACAAAUGCUGCCCCGAGCAGACGUGCAGAAGACACGAGACUGAUGUAGUACAUUGAAGUAAUGCGGUCCUGGAGGUAUUUCAGGGGCGUGUGGAUGUGGUGCAUCAGGACGUGGCACAGUGAUGGACCUGGCAGUGCUGGGCAGUGGUUGGACCUCGUCUUACGAAUCGUUUUCACCCCAAAAGAUUCCAUGAUUCUGUGAUUUUCCAACAGAGAUAAAUAUUGCUCAACAUGGGAAAAACCCACCUGUGGUUUUGCCAGGGCCACACAGCACAGAGCACGGUGGCUCUUGCGGGCAGAGGUGUGUUCACUGCUUGCAGGACCAGCACCCUCUCUCCAUUCACUGCUCCUUGUCUUUAAGAAACAGCCAGAAUUCAGCAGCAAGCUGCGCCGUCCCCUUGGCCAGUAUCAGUCCCCUCGGUCACACCCACACAGCUGUGCUGCAGCUGUGCUCCCAAAGCCACCCCUCCUUGGCUGUUUUCUCCCCAGCAUCACUCAGUGGAGCACAGCUCCUUUUUGACCUGGCACAUCACUAACACAUCCCCAGUACCAUCUCUGACACAAUUGCUGGCACAUCCUUGACACUAUCCCUGUCGCAUCCCUGACCCAGAACAAGUACCACCGUGCACAGGACAGCCAGGAGCUGCUGUUGGCUCUGGCAGCCAGGAGGAGCGUGGCACUGCCCGCCUUCCCGCUGCCUUCCCCAGAGGAUGCUGCCUCCUGCUCCUCCGCACAUCAGCAGGAUCCCUGCCCGUGGCAGCUCCAGCCCUGUGUUCUCCAGGUGUUGGUUUUGGCAGUGUUCACUGGCCCAGCCGCCCAUGGCAUUUCUUGCGUCGCUGGAGGGUGCUGCUGCCCGCUGCACCGACACAGCCGGAAUGUGUAAGGAGCUGGAAGGGCCCCUGUCAUAGUUUUGGCUUGGGCCAGCUUGUUGUCCCUGAAUUACUUUUGGGUUCAGAGUGUGCCUGAAGUCACAGUGUCACCUCCAGCCCCACCAUGCCCGGCCCAGCACAGCUCUGGGUGCUCAGGAGGGGCUGGGGCGGCCGUUUUCUCACUUCCCCACAGAUCUCAAAGCUCCGGGUGAAAUGUCGGCAGUGCUCCUUUGGGAAAUAGGUGCUGCUGCUGACAGAUCCCUCAGAGAAGGUGGGAGCUGGUUUUGCAGAGGGAAGCAGAUUUUGCUAACCAGAGCCGCUCCAUCCCGAUGACUAAUUGAUUCUGUCUUCCACCCACACACCACGUACAGCUCGUAACACAGAGAAGUCAGCCACAAAGGGAAAAAGAGGCCACCGCCUGUCUUCUAAGCCCAUCCUUUGCCCAGAAUUGCUGGGAAUGGGUUCUCAGGGUGGGAACUGCUGAGACAAAUCUGAGGGGCUGAGCGUCCUUCUGGACACAGAAGGGAGCUGCUUCGUUCCUGCUUUCAGGGGCAGGGUCCUUACGUGGGCUCUGCACCAUGCCUGUUCAACCUCUGUUGGUGUUGUCGGGAGCGGCAGGAUAGCUCGUGUGAAUCACCAGCUUCAGCUUAGAGAAAGCAGUCACCAAGUCGGCGUGGGUCUGGGUCUGUUCCAAGCCACAGCCAUUGUCUGUCUCCCCUUUCCAUGGGCAGCAAAAUAAAGAGGAGAAAGGUGGAAGUUUGGUUCUUCCUGCAACACCCAGCCUGCCUGCAAGGGGUUCUCUUUGUCACUUCCUUCGUUAGCAGGUAUUUUCGUUAGCAGGUAUUUUCAUUACUAAGAGGUGCUCUGGCCCCUGUACCAUCUCCCCAGAGGUGGGUCGGGGUGCAAACAUGGCCAAUGAGACACAAAGGCAGCUUUGUCGUGUCGUAACUGAAACAUGUGACAUUUGUUCUUUUCAAGGCCUCAUCUCCACGACGCCCCUCAGACCCAGAGAACAACAACAUCAGCAACGAGUGCCUAUCGCAGGGCAGCAAGCAGCUGGUGGGGUGCCCGGCCGUCUUGUACCAUGGCUCAGAGGAGGAGCUGAUGGCCAGCAUCGAGCGGGAGUACGGCUGCUGAGCUCCGCACGAGGCACGGCCGGAGCAGCAGCGCUGCCAGUGGGACAAUGCAACACCUGCUACAGCGAGGAGGGGUGCGAGGAGCAAGACCAGGGAAAGCACAUCUUGUGAAUCAACAUCUCAAAGCUCCUUUUGAAAUGGCACUUUUACUAGAUUUACUAGAGUUUUGUUGAGGUGUGGUGCUUUGAGGGAAGAAGACCUUUGCUUUGUCCUGGCAGAGAUAAAAUGCAGCAAAAUCAUUCGAUUUAGGUCUGGCUUCAGGAGUGUGCUGUGAAAUGCAGCAGGCUCCCAUGCAUUUCCGCUCCCUGGCAGAAAAAUCGCUGCGUUGUAUCCUUAGCUGAUCUGAAGUAAAACAGAAGGGCUGGAUCUCUGAGGAAAAUCACACUUUCUUUGCUCCCCAGCAGGGAAGCCUGGUGUUUUAGGGUUUCUGCCUUUGUUUUACCUACAUCUUAAUGUAUCGUGAGUAGCUGCUUCUUAUCAGAAGUAGAAAAAUACCUAAUUUCUGUCGUUAGCUGAAGCAUUCCAGAUGUCAGAUGAGAGAGUGUGUGAGUGCAAGAGGAAACAGCAGGACACAUCUUAAGAUGCUGUACUGUGACAUCUUCAUCAUUCCUGAUAUUUGUGAAAGAGAAAUAUGUGCAUCUGUAUUCUAUGUACCUUUCAAUAAAGCAACAACAGCUGUCA